rnacentral:lncRNA from 1 species
GCUUGGAGAAGAGGAUGUGGCUGUUGUUCAGUGAUGUGAGGCAAAACGUGAGUCGAUUUCGGUGUGGAAGGCCGGUAGCUGUGAGGGAGACUCUGGCUAUUGCUGAUUGUUGAUGAGGAGCUGCUGGUUUUAUGCUGCCCACGAUGACUUUAGACAACGGAGGAACUGCUGCUCACGGUAUAGAUAACUAGCUAACGCUGAGAUGAGCUGCUACUGCUAGUGCUACUCACGGUUGAUGCAGAGGAGAUCACUAAGGCUUAGCUGCUGUUGCACAGCUUAGAAGAGAUUCCUGUUGCUGGAAGGAGGAUGAAGCUGCUGAGAGGAAUUUCUGCUCACGUUACUGCUGAACUGAAAUUGGUGGUCUGCUACUGGAGUAGCUGUCGUCCGUGGCUACUGCUCUUGGUCUUUGAAGCUGGCGGACAGGGAAGCUGCUGGUUGCAGUGCCACUCACGGUGAUUGAUGAUGGCUGGUGAUGUGAUGUGGAAGGAGUUAAUUAAAAAAAUAGAAAGGGGACGGUGUCUUUUUGGGAAUGUGAGGAAGAAUGAGAUGGGUGUAUGGAAGAUGGAAGGGUGAAGGUUACGGGUUGGGUUUUUUUUUUUUUUUCAGGAGAAUGUUUUUUUUGCGCGCGUGUGAGCCGGUAAGUGGGAGAGAGUUUUGAUUCGUGUGAUUCUCACCUAAAAUUCUCCUCUCCUCGUGUGUUUGGUAUAAUUAUUUAUUUAUUGACAAAACAA